UAGCAGAAAUGCAAGGUAAGGCUGCGUACGAUACACCCUUGUGAUGGGACCCUUCCCCGGACACCGCGCAUAGCAGUAGCUUUAGUGCACCGGGCUGCCCUUUUUAAAUAGGCAGCCACUCUCACUCUCUCUUACUUUAUUUGGUUUAGUUAAGUGUGGCAAAAGAUCUAGCUCGAAAGAGACUCUUCACAUACUCAAUUGGGAUGACUGUUACCCUUACUUAUCUCCUUACUCGGAGAAUUCCCUCCCAGAGCUAUUCCCCGAUGCUGUGUCUUCUUUCUCCUUAGUCUGGGAAUGAAACCAUUAGCCAAAAAAAAAUACUUACUUGUUGCUCUAUUUGAUUUAGGACCUCUGGUAUUCAGACACUACAGCUGAUUGAACUACAGCGAUGUCGGCUUUCUGUUAUUGAUUCGGCAAAGCCAAUACAAGAAGAGCAACAAAGCUGGGGAAAUGAUGACCUUAUUGUUCGUGUGCACAACAAAGACAAAACGAUGAGUUGAAGGAGAGUACCAUAAGGUACACUCAGGCAAAAUAAGAAGUUGAUCGCUCUUUGCAGAAGAUCGUCCAGCAACAUAAUUCAAAUGGUUAUCGGGUGCUUGGUGAUUCUGUGUUGAAAUUCUUGAAAUACGGCCCAAUAUUCAUUCAUCUGGAAGGACAAUUGGAUUCGUGAGCAAAGAGGCUGCUCCAGUAUGAAAGAAAGUUAUCAUAUGUGUUCGCUUGUCCCACUUGGAUGCAUAGACUUCAUUUUUGUUUGCGGAAUCAUUGUUGUGUUGUUGAUUUUUCCUUUCACUUGUGGUAUAGAUUCUGAAAUUUGGUAGUUAUUAGAACUGCAUUCCUCAUAAACAUAAAAAUGGGGUACAUUUUAGAUUUGUAGU